rnacentral:other from 1 species
AGUAACAAUUAUAAUUGUUAUUGGGUCGCCGGAAAGAUUAGGCGGCAGGUUUUAUGCAACAGGAGGAAUCUCAAUGGUCGGUAAAGUUAAAUGGUUCAGCGCUGAAAAAGGUUAUGGCUUCAUUGCCCGCGAGGAUGGGGACGAUGUAUUCGUACAUUUUUCCGCAAUCAAUGACGAAGGUUUCAAGACCCUGAACGAAGGUCAGGAAGUUGAAUUCGAAAUCGUGGAAGGUGCCCGCGGCCCGCAGGCUUCCAACGUAGUGAAAACGGCAUAAUUUUUAUUAUCGUGCAUACAGCCUCCCCAGUAGGGGAGGCUUUUUUU